AUGAGAAGUCAUGUAAUCAACAAUGCACAUUAUGCGCGCAAUUUCUCCGUGACAAAAUACCAUCAGACGAAUGGAAGUAUUGGGCGUUUGCCUCGCAAUACACCAUCCCCGAUCCGUGCCCCCGCGCCCGAGGAGAAGGGUUUUUCUGGAUUCAUGAUCGAUUUUCUAAUGGGUGGAGUUUCUGCUGCCGUCUCCAAAACGGCGGCUGCUCCGAUUGAGCGUGUUAAGCUCUUGAUUCAGAACCAGGAUGAAAUGAUCAAGAGUGGUAGGCUUUCUCAUCCUUACAAAAGUAUCGGCCAUUGCUUCACCCGCACAAUAAAAGAUGAGGGUGUGGUUGCACUCUGGAGGGGAAACACAGCCAAUGUUAUCCGUUACUUCCCGACUCAGGCCUUAAACUUUGCCUUCAAGGACCACUUCAAGCGCAUGUUCAACUUUAGAAAGGACAAGGAUGGCUACUGGAAGUGGUUCUUCGGCAACAUAGCUUCCGGAGGAGCCGCCGGCGCUUCUUCUCUGUUGUUUGUGUAUUCUCUGGAUUACGCUCGUACUCGCCUUGCCAAUGAUGCCAAGGCUGCAAAGGUGGGUGGCCAGAGGCAGUUCGAUGGCAUCGUAGAUGUCUAUCGCAAGACCCUUGCUAGCGACGGUGUCCGCGGCUUGUACCGUGGCUUCAACGUCUCCUGUGUGGGCAUCAUCGUUUAUCGAGGUCUUUAUUUCGGAAUGUACGACUCCCUCAAGCCGGCGGUUCUUGUUGGUUCUCUUGAGGUGAGUAACCAUACCAUUGUUUCUGUAAAUUCACUCUACACAUUUUUCACUGAUAUCAUAUUUCUUUACUCUAUGCAUAUUCUGCAGGAUAACUUGCUUGCCAGUUUCUUGCUUGGCUGGGGUGUGACGAUGGGUGCAGGGCUUGCCUCGUAUCCCAUUGAUACCGUCCGCCGCCGUAUGAUGAUGACAUCUGGUGAGUCCGUGAAGUAUAAGAACUCCAUGGAUGCUUUCAGGAAGAUCAUCGCCGAGGAGGGCGCCAAGUCCCUCUUCAAGGGUGCUGGCGCCAACAUCCUCCGUGCUGUUGCGGGUGCUGGUGUGCUUGCUGUGUAUGACAAGCUCCAGGUGGUCGUCUUUGGCAAGAAGUAUGGGUCCGGUGGCGGCUAA
rnacentral:rRNA from 1 species